AGUGAACGCUGGCGGUAGGCCUAACACAUGCAAGUCGAACGGCAGCACAGAGGAGCUUGCUCCUUGGGUGGCGAGUGGCGGACGGGUGAGGAAUACAUCGGAAUCUACUCUGUCGUGGGGGAUGACGUAGGGAAACUUACGCUAAUACCGCAUACGACCUACGGGUGAAAGCAGGGGAUCUUCGGGCCUUGCGCGAUUGAAUGAGCCGAUGUCGGAUUAGCUAGUUGGCGGGGUAAAGGCCCACCAAGGCGACGAUCCGUAGCUGGUCUGAGAGGAUGAUCAGCCACACUGGAACUGAGACACGGUCCAGACUCCUACGGGAGGCAGCAGUGGGGAAUAUUGGACAAUGGGCGCAAGCCUGAUCCAGCCAUACCGCGUGGGUGAAGAAGGCCUUCGGGUUGUAAAGCCCUUUUGUUGGGAAAGAAAUCCAGCUGGCUAAUACCCGGUUGGGAUGACGGUACCCAAAGAAUAAGCACCGGCUAACUUCGUGCCAGCCGCCGCGGUAA
rnacentral:rRNA from 1 species